rnacentral:RNase_P_RNA from 1 species
CCAGUCGGCCGGGCAGUCGCGUCCCCGAUGCAGCGCAUCGGGGCCGAGGAAAGUCCGGGCUCCGUCCGGCACGGUGGUGGGUAACGCCCACCCGGAGCGAUCCGCGGGACAGUGCCACAGAGAGCAGACCGCCGGCACCGCACGUCGGGAGCCGGUAAGGGUGAAAGGGUGGUGUAAGAGACCACCGCGGUCGUGGUGACACGACCGGCAUGGCAAACCCCACCGGGAGCAAGGCCAGACAGGGGACGUCUGAGGGUGCCGGCCCGAGUCCCCGGGUAGGCCGCUGGAGGUCGUCGGCGACGGCGAUCCGAGAGGGAUGACUGCCGAUCACAGAACCCGGCUUACAGGCCGGCUGGUCCG